UGCAUCUAAAUUAAAGCUUAUUUGCUUGUUUUGAAUUCUGGUUUUGUAUUUGUGUUUUGAUGGAUAGGGGUUCUGUUCCUAUUAAUUAAUAGUGAAAAUUAAUGGUUUUCCUUUGUGAUUUCUCAUUAGUCUCAAUCACUACUUGACCAUUAUUUGAGCUUAAAAUUAAUUUUCCGGGUCUGUACCAAAUGAGAUUCAUAAGCUCAGGUACAUUAGUUGACAUUACUAUAAGUUUUUGAUCUAAUAAGAGCUAUAUGGGUUAACAUUAUAGUAUUGUUAUUGACAUUGAACCAAAUAUGAAGCAAAUAGAAGAUAAAGUGAUGUUGGUAUUUUGGAUUUGGUUUUGCUUUUCUACACUUUCACUUUCCAAUCAAGUGACUAAUUUAUACCUAUAAUGAAUGUCAAUGACCUUUUUCAAUAACUUUGUGGAUCAAUACUUUGCUUUUGCAAAAUUUCAUGUUUCAGUUUCUUUUGGACUCUUCUGCAUUUGUUUUGAUCAUUUUUGUGUUGUUUUGAAGUAUGUUAGUUUGAUGAGGAUGUUAAGAUGUUAGAUUAUUAGGACACUGAGUUGUUCAUGAGCCUGCAUGAUCUAGAGUUUUACUGCUAUGAAUUUUUAAAUUAUGCUUUUGAAACAACUGAAGACUGAAUAUACUUACUGCUCUAGUGUAACAGGAUCUCAUCUUGGGCCUGCGGUUUUACACGAACUGUUGUUCUUCAAUGAUUCUAUCCUGGUGUUACUGAUGCAUUAAAAUUUGCAAGCACAAGAGUGUACAAUGUACAUUGUCACCACAAAACAGGUCUGACUUCUCUCUCUGCUCCUACCAUGAAGACAAUAGUCCUAAUCCUAUGACAUGCCAUUAUUUAUACUUUUGCCAAUAAUUAGCAUCUGAUAAAAUUUAUGAAUGUGAAUUUUGUAAAUGUUAAUUACCAUUGCCAAUAAUUAGGAUAUGACACAAAUUCCUAAUUGGCAACAUCUGAUUUAUCAUAUUUCACAGACCCUGAAAUGAAACUAAAUUUGCAAUAGCUGGUCAUACUUGGUCUAUGUACUCAUUGAAGGAUUAGUAAUAGUAAUAGUGGAUAUGCAAUCACACAUGCUGCAUUAAAUUGUAGUACAUGAACACUAACUAGGAUUCUUUGUUUUGCAUAUGAUACUUUCUUUUGAGCUUCCAUUCACUUUAAUUUCACUCCUUAAGUUUAGCAGCGGUAGUACAAAGAUAGGACCUCGUAAGAAUUCAAUGACUUAUGCAGAGAAAGGAGUGCUUCAUUUUGGGUAAGCUGCUCUUUUUUACCUGACGCUAUUGUGCUAUUAAUUAGUCUGGCUUGAUCAUGAAUAAGGUUUGCUUGCUGCAUUUUGGUUUUACAAUACCGAAGUUUUCUGGUUUGGCAGGUUGUGAACAUGUUUGUUCUUUCUGAUUAAUAAAUUGGUAAUUAGGUAUAUAUUUUGAUUAUUCAAAUUAGGUAUUCCAAUUAUUUAUUCAUGUGAGUGUUUUGGUAGAUUUGUAUGUUUUGAUUGAGUAUGAAGAAUUAGGUAUUUCAAACUUCUUAUAUGAACAGAGCUAAUAUGAACUCAAAACUUCUUAAAUGUUUUGAUUUUACUAUGAUGAAAUGAUCAAUAUGUGAUGUAAUCGAAGAAUACUAUUGCCGUUUAAUUAUGUAGUUUUUUCAAUUUGAAAAAAGGAUAGGAUUAUUUGAAAUAGAAAUUGCAAACUGCUUCCUGCUAGAAGAAAUAGGAUUAUCUGAAAUACUUAGGCUUAAAAUGCUUAGGAUUGGUAUUUGAAAUUUAUAAGAGUUAGAUAUUUCUCUGAUAAAGAUGUAGCUUUAGAAUGAGCCAAAACCAACAUUGAAUAGGAAAAGGAAACUUCAUGUUAUGAACAAGCAUAGGCUAACACAUGAUUACAUCAACCGACAUUACUAUAAGCUUUUGACGAAAAUUAGUAAUAUGACCAAAAUGCUCAAACAUGUUUGACUAAUUUCCUUUGGUGGCUAAUCUCUAAUGAGAAUAACAUCUUUAUAUGAGAAUGAUUGGAAAGUGAAAGUGUCGAAAUGCAAAGUGAAUUGUGAAUGAAUGUUAAGGACCUUUUUCAACAACUUAGAAUAAUUCUACUAGAUGCAACUGUGUUUAAUAUUAAUAUUAUCAAUCUAGUACUUUUACUUAAACCUUUAAUUCCAAUCCAAUAUUCUUGUUCAGAUUCACAAAAGCUUGAACUAAGAACACCUUUCUGAUAGAUACCCUGUUCAUAAUGUUAGCUACACUUAUCCACACAUUGUAGUAACUGAUCCAUGUGUUUGAGUUUCAAGAUGGCUUUGUGAAUAGCAUGGACUAUCACCUGAACGAAAAGACAGUUGGAAAGCAUCUAACCAUGAUUUUGAGGAGAAAUAUGCAUUCCUCUUGACCAAGGUUUUUGUUUCUCAUAACUAUUUUUGCACAUGAAUGUAUGUCGAGUAUUGUAUCUUCUUUUGGUUUGAAAUAUUCAUAUGCUUACAUGUAACAUCUUUGGUUUCUAAUUCAUUGCAAUCCAUUUAUAUAA